UACGAAGGGGGCUAGCGUUGUUCGGAUUUACUGGGCGUAAAGCGCACGUAGGCGGAUCGUUAAGUCGGGGGUGAAAUCCUGGAGCUCAACUCCAGAACUGCCUUCGAUACUGGCGAUCUCGAGUCCGGAAGAGGUGAGUGGAACUCCUAGUGUAGAGGUGGAAUUCGUAGAUAUUAGGAAGAACACCAGUGGCGAAGGCGGACUCACUGG
rnacentral:rRNA from 1 species